CACGUAGGGCGCGAGCGUUGUCCGCAAUUAUUGGGCGUAAAGAGCUCGUAGGCGGCCUGUUGCGUCCGCUGUGAAAGCCCGGGGCUUAACCCCGGGUCGGCAGUGGAUACGGGCAGGCUAGAGGUAGGUAGGGGAGAAUGGAAUUCCCGGUGUAGCGGUGAAAUGCGCAGAUAUCGGGAGGAACACCGGUGGCGAAGGCGGUUCUCUGGGCCUUACCUGACGCUGAGGAGCGAAAGCGUGGGGAGCGAACAGG
rnacentral:rRNA from 1 species